rnacentral:rRNA from 1 species
AUAAGCCAGCUUGACUGCGAGCGUGACGGCGCGAGCAGGUGCGAAAGCAGGUCAUAGUGAUCCGGUGGUUCUGAAUGGAAGGGCCAUCGCUCAACGGAUAAAAGGUACUCCGGGGAUAACAGGCUGAUACCGCCCAAGAGUUCAUAUCGACGGCGGUGUUUGGCACCUCGAUGUCGGCUCAUCACAUCCUGGGGCUGAAGUAGGUCCCAAGGGUAUGGCUGUUCGCCAUUUAAAGUGGUACGCGAGCUGGGUUUAGAACGUCGUGAGACAGUUCGGUCCCUAUCUGCCGUGGGCGCUGGAGAACUGAGGGGGGCUGCUCCUAGUACGAGAGGACCGGAGUGGACGCAUCACUGGUGUUCGGGUUGUCAUGCCAAUGGCACUGCCCGGUAGCUAAAUGCGGAAGAGAUAAGUGCUGAAAGCAUCUAAGCACGAAACUUGCCCCGAGAUGAGUUCUCCCUGACCCUUUAAGGGUCCUGAAGGAACGUUGAAGACGACGACGUUGAUAGGCCGGGUGUGUAAGCGCAGCGAUGCGUUGAGCUAACCGGUACUAAUGAACCGUGAGGCUUAACCUUACAAC